GCCGAGCCUGGUAACGCAAGCUUGUGACCCAAGUGGGGGGCUUUAAGGUGAUGGGACACGGGUUCGACUCGUUUGAGUCGGUUCUGCAGUGGUUUGAUUCAGGCUUGUCCGUUCCAAGCAAGGAGUUGGACCAUGGAGCACGAGCGUAGGCUUGUGUGUCGUGGUUCUUAGAGAGGGGGAUAAAGCGUGAGGCUGGUUUCACAGAGCAGCGAAAACCUUCCGCUCCUUGCAGUGGAAGGAUAACAGGCUUGAUCCAUUCGGAACCACCAUGGCUCAAUGAGCUGACCCCAACUGUACCAUCAUUUUU
rnacentral:SRP_RNA from 1 species